rnacentral:rRNA from 1 species
UACGAAGGGUGCAAGCGUUACUCGGAAUUACUGGGCGUAAAGCGUGCGUAGGUGGUUCGUUAAGUCUGAUGUGAAAGCCCUGGGCUCAACCUGGGAAUGGCAUUGGAUACUGGCGAUCUAGAGUGCGGUAGAGGGCAGUGGAAUUCCCGGUGUAGCAGUGAAAUGCGUAGAGAUCGGGAGGAACAUCUGUGGCGAAGGCGACUGCCUGGACCAGCACUGACACUGAGGCACGAAAGCGCGGGGAGCAAACAGG